AUUGAACGCUGGCGGCAGGCCUAACACAUGCAAGUCGAGCGGAUGAAGGGAGCUUGCUCCUGGAUUCAGCGGCGGACGGGUGAGUAAUGCCUAGGAAUCUGCCUGGUAGUGGGGGAUAACGUCCGGAUACGGGCGCUAAUACCGCAUACGUCCUGAGGGAGAAAGUGGGGGAUCUUCGGACCUCACGCUAUCAGAUGAGCCUAGGUCGGAUUAGCUAGUUGGUGGGGUAAAGGCCUACCAAGGCGACGAUCCGUAACUGGUCUGAGAGGAUGAUCAGUCACACUGGAACUGAGACACGGUCCAGACUCCUACGGGGGGCAGCAGUGGGGAAUAUUGGACAAUGGGCGAAAGCCUGAUCCAGCCAUGCCGCGUGUGUGAAGAAGGUCUUCGGAUUGUAAAGCACUUUAAGUUGGGAGGAAGGGCAGUAAGUUAAUACCUUGCUGUUUUGACGUUACCAACAGAAUAAGCACCGGCUAACUUCGUG
rnacentral:rRNA from 1 species